rnacentral:lncRNA from 10 species
GACAAAACAUGGGCUUAGGAUCUCAUAAGCCCACUGGUCAAGGCAGCUUGGGAAACUUACGUUACAAACUUUACUGCAGGUCCUUGAAACAAACAAACCAACCAAAAAGCUAGAUGAAGUUUCCCUGUUGUCUUGUUUUAAGUCCUUGGGAGCUUGACCUUGUAACCAUGUGGCAAUACUUUCUUUUAUUCUCUGCUGUCUGGAAGAUAGGAAUUUUUGACUUUAUGUUAUAGCUUUUUUUUUUUUUUUUUUUUUUUUUGAGAUGGAGUUUCACUCUUGUCUCCCAGGCUAGAGUGCAGUGCCUCACUCUCAGCCCAUCACAACCUUCACCUCCCAGGUUCAAGCCAUCCUCCUGCCUCAUCCCCCUGAGUAGCUGGGAUCACAGGCACAGGCCAUUAGGCCUGGCUAAUUUUUGUAUUUCUUUUUUUUUUUUUUUUUUUGUAGAGAUUGGAUUUCAUCCUGUUGGCCAGGCUGGUCUUGUACUUUCAACUUCAGGUGAUCUGCCUGCCUCGGCCUCCCAAAGUGUUGGAAUUACAGGCAUGAGUCACCUUGCCGGGCCACACUAAAAAUUAUUUUGAGUGAGUUAAAAGCCACUGACAGCUCAAAAUUGGCUGCCUCCAGGAACCUUCUGGAAAGAACAAUGAAAACUGCCCAAUUCUGUAGCUCAGCAGGUUGGCUUUUGCUCUGGAGAGAGAAGACCUAGAUUUGACUCUGCGUGAUCAUGGGUGAGUGAUUUAAUCUCUCCAAAGCUUAAUGUACUCAUUAACAAAAUGCAGAUAAUAAUACCAUUCCUUACAGGUUAG